GGGAUAUCUCCCCUCCCCCGCUCCCUCUGUCUCCCUCUCUCCCUCCCCUCUCCCCUCUCCCAUGAGAGGACACAGCCAGAAGGAGACCGUCUGCAAGCCAAGGAGAGAAGCCUCACCAGCCAUGGAAUCUAUAGGCACCUUGAUGUUGGACUUCCAGCCUCCAGAGCUAUGGAAGCCAACCGUCGGGAGCACACACACCACAUUACAAGGAUCCCAGCCAGGCCCAGGAGGGGAAGCAAGGACACCCUAGAGGCAGAGAGAACUGGCAGGAUUUUUCAUGGGCCGAUCUGCUGAAUUCAGCCUAGGAGCUGAGACCAACAUCUGAGUCUCUUCAGCACACAAGUUUGAAAGAAGUCCUAGCAACUUCAAGCUCAGAACUACGGGUGGCAGCAGCUCCCUCUUGACGUCGAAGCCUCCCAUUCCAGAGAGAGUCAAGGCCUGGAUCAAACAAAGCCCACAAGCACCGAUGACUGAGCUGCUGACUACCCCCAGCAUCUCCAACUCAACCUCCUCUUUCUGCCUCUACCCAAAUUUUAAAACUUUCAAACAUGGGUUUAAAAAUGGUAAUGAGUAAAGUUGCAUCCAAGUGUAUCAAAUAAAACUAAAUAUCCAUAAAUGCUGUAAUAAUUCCUGCUUUGAUGCUGAACUAAAGAAUUUUCUGCCAGGCGUGGUGGCUAACACCUGUAAUCCCAGCACUUUGGGAGGCCAAGGCAGGUGGAUCACGAGGUCAGGAGUUCAAGACCUGCCUGGCC
rnacentral:lncRNA from 10 species